rnacentral:ribozyme from 1 species
UGCCCAGCAACUCCUAUCCCUACCUCCACGCGGUACCGGCCGGAAACUAUGAGCAACCUUAGGGAAGAUCGGGUAACCGACCCCGGUGGGAACUUUGGUCGUAGGCUGACAGGGAAGG